GAUGAAGAACGUAGCGAAAUGCGAUAAGUAGUGUGAAUUGCAGAAUUCAGUGAAUCAUCGAAUCUUUGAACGCACAUUGCGCCCUUUGGUAUUCCAAAGGGCAUGCCUGUUCGAGCGUCAUUUGUACCCUCAAGCUUUGCUUGGUGUUGGGCGUCUUGUCUCUAGCUUUGCUGGAGACUCGCCUUAAAGUAAUUGGCAGCCGGCCUACUGGUUUCGGAGCGCAGCACAAGUCGCACUCUCUAUCAGCAAAGGUCUAGCAUCCAUUAAGCCCUUUUUUCAACUUUUGACCUCGGAUCAGGUAGGGAUACCCGCUGAACUUAAGCAUAUCAAUAAGCGGAGGA
rnacentral:misc_RNA from 1 species